CAAAGGGGACUCGGCCGCCAUGUUAGGAGUACUGGGACGAUUCCGCGGAGCCGGGCAGAGGUUUUAGGGGAAUGAUUAACAAAGGCGUCCGAAGAAAUCGUUGUUGGAAGGUGGCCAAAGUGGAAAGAGAGGUUGCUUUGGCCCUGCAAGUAAGAAGAGAGAAGGAAUAGCCUGAAGGAGUAACACUAAAUUUAAAAUGACACUUUUUUACCAACCAGCGAAAGCAGAUGUUCAAAGGGGAUAUUGGCCAGGUGCGGUCGCUCACGCCUUUAAUCCCAGCACUUUGGGGGCAGACGCGGGGAGAUAGCGUGAUUCUAGGAGUCCAACCCCGGCCUGGGCAACAUGCGGAGACCCCGUACCGUCUCUACAAAAACAUUAAACAAAAAAAUUAGCUGGGCAUGGUGGUGUACCCCUGUAGUUGCAGCUACACUAGAGGCUGAGGUGGGAGGAUCUCUGAGCCCG
rnacentral:lncRNA from 1 species